AUAGUAAGUAAAAGCACAGCAGCAGCAAAAUAAAUAUACGCCAUUCUCGAAUGAGUGGUUUUAACCGCUUUAUUAUGUUUUUUUUUUUUUUCAUUGAUUU
rnacentral:ribozyme from 14 species